rnacentral:rRNA from 1 species
GACGAACGCUGGCGGCGCGCCUAACACAUGCAAGUCGAACGGAGUCAAGAGGAGCUUGCUUUUCUUGACUUAGUGGCGAACGGGUGAGUAACGCGUGAGUAACCUGCCCUGGAGUGGGGGACAACAGUUGGAAACGACUGCUAAUACCGCAUAAGCCCACGGAUCUGCAUGGAUCUGCGGGAAAAGGAUUUAUUCGCUCUAGGAUGGACUCGCGUCCAAUUAGCUAGUUGGUGAGGUAACGGCCCACCAAGGCGACGAUUGGUAGCCGGACUGAGAGGUUGAACGGCCACAUUGGGACUGAGACACGGCCCAGACUCCUACGGGAGGCAGCAGUGGGGGAUAUUGCAAAAUGGGGGAAACCCUGAUGCAGCGACGCCGCGUGGAGGAAGAAGGUUUUCGGAUAGUAAACUCCUGUCGUUAGGGACGAUAAUGACGGUACCUAACAAGAAAGCACCAGCUAACUACGUG